GUGAACGGCAUGGGGUGUUCGCUGCGGUUGGAGUCUCUCGAACCGCUCUACCACCUCGUUCCCACGCCUCCAAAGCACAUCGAGCCCCUGUCCGACGAGGUCCUGGGAACGAUCGCGGCCGUCGGAGAUCGGUUGGGAAUCGAGCUCGUGCCGGAAA
rnacentral:SRP_RNA from 1 species